rnacentral:rRNA from 1 species
AUUUGCCGCGAAGUUGGGAACAACUCGUUGAAAGACGAGCUAAUACCUAAUGUGCUCCGCAAAGGGAGGUAAAAGCCGGGGGGACCCGAAAAGGGCCUGGCGCUUCGCGAUAAGCCCGCGGCCUAUCAGCUAGUUGGCGGGGUAAAAGCCCACCAAGGCUAAGACGGGUAGCUGGUCUGAGAGGACGACCAGCCACACUGGAACUGAGACACGGUCCAGACACCUACGGGUGGCAGCAGUCGAGAAUUUUUCACAAUGGGCGAAAGCCUGAUGGAGCGACGCCGCGUGGGGGAUGAAGGGCUUCGGCUCGUAAACCCCUGUCAUUUGCGAACAAAGGCGCCAACCUAACACGUUGUCGUCUGAUAGUAGCAGAAGAGGAAGGGACGGCUAACUCUGUGCCAGCAGCCGCGGUAAUACAGAGGUCCCAAGCGUUGUUCGGAUUCACUGGGC